rnacentral:rRNA from 1 species
GACAGAGGGUGCAAACGUUGUUCGGAAUUACUGGGCGUAAAGCGAGUGUAGGCGGUCUGCUAAGUCGGGUGUGAAAGCCCUGGGCUCAACCCAGGAAGUGCACUCGAAACUGGCAGGCUAGAGUAUCGGAGAGGUUGGUGGAAUUCUCGGUGUAGAGGUGAAAUUCGUAGAUAUCGAGAGGAACACCGGUGGCGAAGGCGGCCAACUGGACGAAUACUGACGCUGAGACUCGAAAGCGUGGGGAGCAAACAGG